rnacentral:tRNA from 1 species
GGUAUGUGGCUCAAGUGGUAGCGCCCUCACCUGGCAUGCGCGGGGCGCUGGGUUCGAUCCUCAGCACCA